rnacentral:rRNA from 1 species
AACGAACGCUGGCGGCAGGCCUAACACAUGCAAGUCGAGCGCCCCGCAAGGGGAGCGGCGGACGGGUGAGUAACGCGUGGGAACGUGCCCUCUUCUACGGAAUAGCCUCGGGAAACUGGGAGUAAUACCGUAUACGCCCUUAGGGGGAAAGAUUUAUCGGAGGAGGAUCGGCCCGCGUUGGAUUAGGUAGUUGGUGGGGUAAUGGCCUACCAAGCCGACGAUCCAUAGCUGGUUUGAGAGGAUGAUCAGCCACACUGGGACUGAGACACGGCCCAGACUCCUACGGGAGGCAGCAGUGGGGAAUCUUAGACAAUGGGCGCAAGCCUGAUCUAGCCAUGCCGCGUGAGCGAUGAAGGCCUUAGGGUUGUAAAGCUCUUUCAGGGGGGAAGAUAAUGACUGUACCCCCAGAAGAAGCCCCGGCUAACUCCGUG